ensembl:lncRNA
CUUAAUUUUUUUUACCUGUACAUUAGCCAUAAAAGAAUUCCUCUCAUAAUGCCAAUAAGGUAAUGCUUAAGUCACUUUGCAGGACACCUGGUACAUAAAGAAUGUAUGCAAAAUGUUGCUGUAAUGAUGAGGAAUAUCAACACCUAUCUUAAAAGAUUUAGGGACUAAAUGAGAUAUAUAAAGCAUGUAGCACCAAGUAUUUGUUUUUAAAAAUGUUCUUCUCACUUUCUCCUUGGCUUUUCUGGGAAUUGGUGUAAUUCUCAUACUUCUUUGGGGAGUAAUUUCCACCAUCUGGUUCCUCUUCUCUCUUGCAGCAUUUUCUACGAGUGAUGCUCAGAUGGUGCAUCUGGCGUCUCUUGCUUUGUGCUUUUGAAAUGCAAGAUCCAGGAGGAUGGUGAGAUGGACCACCUAGUGCAGGGAUGGUGAACCUUUUUGAGCUUUCAAUGAUAAUGAACAGCUGACUGUGGCAUGCGUGCCAUAGGCUUGCUAUCAAUGAACUAGCGAAUGCCACACAUUUCACCUCUUUGAGGUUUUCCACUAAAAACGCACCCAUCCACACCCCUCUCUUAUUCCCAAAGAUGACCACUCAGUACCUGAAAUCAUACAAACCAAAUGAGUCUAGUCCAGAGAUGGAAAACAGAGGUCCAGAGGGCUAACACCUGUCCAGGUUGGAUGCGUUGUGGUGUUGUAAAUCUUUCAAAUUAGUUGUUAAUAUAUUUUAAAGUAUUUCACUUCCUGAAACACAGAGACUCACAUGUAUUUCUGGCUGCCCUGGAAAGUUGGGCAACUUGGCACCACGAAGUCCAGAGUGCCUGGGUUUCAUGGUCUCAGGGCAGCAGCUGCCACUGUCGUGCCCUCUGUACAGACCAAGCCCUCUCCGAUGUCUUCCUUUAUUUAUUUUAAAUGCAUGGCUCCUGUCCACACAAUGGCCACUUCCUUCCAUUUAUAGAUAUGGGACUUGAACCAGCCAUGACUUCAUGAUGCUGACAGAUCACAAGAGGGAAAAAAAAGCUGCUUUCUACCAUUUGCACUGUUCUAAUCUUUGGUAUUGAAGAAAAUCUGCGAGGAGGACAAGGGAGAUAUAGUUACUCUCCAGCUCUUUGGGACAUCUGGCAAUGAGUCCAAACACAUGCAAAUAAAGAAUGAAGUUAUUUUCAUAAAAGGUGGAGCCAUGUACCCUUGUAAUUAUGCUCUCUGAUUUUAGAAGGAGGAGAAAGAUAAGAUUUAAGGAAUUAGGAAAAGGAAUGACCAGAAAACAAGGGCCGCAGUGUGGAAAACAUAAAGAAUUAUUUGAGUAAAUGACAACUCACAUUUUUUAAAAAGUAUGUAUCUCCUUGAAAAAUCC